rfam:Hymenobacter sp. MIMBbqt21 scaffold11, whole genome shotgun sequence.
UUUUUAUACAGAGGCGUGGAGAGACAGGCUCGACGAAACGCCGACAACCCCCGGAAUUUCCGGAACGGUGCCAAAUCCUGACCAUAUAAAAA